AUUGUCCACGUGCAUUUUUGGCCUUUUCAUUCCUGGUCAGUGGUCGCUUCAAGGUUUAGAAAAGAUUACCUUGUCGCAAGGGUUCAUACACUGCCAGAGAUUUUAGAUAAUAUUUCAUUGCUGUUCCAAAUACAGCAAUGUCCUACUCCCAGAUAAUCAAUAAAGACUCAAGACUUUCUCUGGCUUGGUAGGGCUUCUCUAUAGAUCGCAGUAGGGCUUUACAGUCUCAAAACAAUGGGAGAGAUGAGUUGUUUCUGUAUAAACUGAAUUUUAGUAGAGCAGAUCACAUGCUGACUACUGAAUCCAUUUAUAAUUUACUGAACAUUGUAUGUGUUAUAAACAAAAAUAACAAGCAUGAAUUUUCCCAGCAAAGUUCUAAGCCUUACAAAUCUUUAACUAAUAUGCUUAAAUAAGACCUAUAUGGCUGUGACCACACUAAUUCUUCAGUAUAUGUCACACAUCCCAUGACUAGCGAAUAUCUAUAUAAUAAUCCUAAAGGGGGGUUGUUUUUUUUAGGAAAAUAAAUUGUGGAUACAGGAUUUUGUUUUUAAAAAAUUGAGGGAUCUCUACUCAUUUCUCAGAGCAACGCAAAUGUAAAGAUGAGACUUACAAUUGCAUGUAAGUAUAUUUCUAUAUCACCAUGCAACAUAUAUUUUUUAAUAUACUUUUUUGACCUAGAACACAUUUAGUAGCCUAGCAUUAUACGUGUUGACACUUAUAGCAGAUCAGACAUAUCCUGGUGGCAUGACCUUACCUCCACCUCAUCAGUGUGGCCCCUGCAGUGUAUAAAUGUCUCAUGAGAUAUGAACCAAAAUAUAUUGAGAAAAAAAAAUGGUUGUGCGAAUAAUUAAUGUUUCACACAAGUUAAAGUUCUUGCAAAGGUUGCCCACAAAAUGCACUUUGUCUAUAUUUAAUGUAAAGUCCGCAGGUUCAACAGCAUAUUGAAGUUUUAAUGAAGACAAAAAAACUCAAAACAUAAAAAUACAGUUUCAGCCACAUGGCCUUAAUCAUAUGUAAAGGAUGCAUGUACAACCUAACAGUUUAAAUACCUGUAGUUUCAGAGCCAACAUUGAGAGCUCCUCCCAGGGGUGUGUGUCCAGUUACCAUAGUAACCACCCAAUAAGUACAUAAAUGAUGCUAUUUUGUGUUGGUUAUUAACCCUUUCCCUCCCAACAUCUUGUUUACUUGUGUGAAAGGAGUACUAUAGGGUCAGGAACACAAACAUGUAUUCCUGACCCUAUAGUGUUAAAACCAGCAUCCAGUCACUCUGGUCCCCUCAUGCCUCUAUAAAUAUAGUAAAAUCUUACUUGUAUGCAAGCCCUGUUUCCUUUAAACCUGCCCACUACCUGCUGAAAUCAUCAGAAGUUGUAGCCUGAUCCAAUCACAAUGCUUCCCCAUAGGAUUGGCUGAGACUGACAAGGAGGCACAUCAGGGGCAGAGCCAGCACAAUUCAAACACAGCCCUGGCCAAUCAGCAUCUCCUCAUAGAGAUGAAUUAAAUUAAUGCAUGUCUAUGAGGAAAGUUCAGUGUCUGCGUGCAGAGGGAGGAGAUACUGAAUGUUUGAAUGCAUUUUAGGCAGCCAUGACCCAGGAAGGAUAACAGCCAUCUGAGGAGUGGCCAGUGAAGUUAUCACUAGGCUGUAAUGUAAACACUGCAUUUUCUUUGAAAAGACAGUGUUUACAGCAAAAAGCCUGAAGGUAAUGAUUCUACUCACCAGAAUAAAUUCAAUAAGCUGUAGUUGUUCUGGUGACUAUAGUAUCCCUUUAACUUUCAUUUUGCUUUGCAAAUCAAUGCUCUAGUUUUGGUUUUCACUCUGCAGAGAAAGCAUUUCACUCCCAGUGCCCUAUUUAGUUUCUAUGCAGAGGGACUGCAAAGUACAAAUAUUCCUUUCUUUCACAUUGUACAGCAACCUUUGUAGGUCAAACUUUUGUGCAUCAUUCUAUCAGCAAAUGUAGUUGGAGUGCUCUAAGCAUACACAAAACACAUAAACAAUACAAACAUGUAAUACCCAGUAAUAUACAAACAUUUGACCAUUAAUAUUUUUUAUACAGUGUAUUUUUUUUCUAAAUUUACUGAAUUUAAUCUUUGAGCAAUCAGUAAGCAAAAUCGUUAAAUUCUAUAUGUGCUAGUUAUGCAUCCCCUAUUUUAAACCAAUGUUAUGCUAUUUCCUUGAUAGUAAAGAGGGUAAACAUAUAACUUGUUCCAAGGUAUUUACUAAAGUAAGAUUUAAAAGGGAAAUGAAAAUUGAACUUCAACAUUUGUUAUUUUGGUCUUAUAUUUGAAAUUAAUUUUGAAUUUACCUUAAAUUCUGACUUUAGGGAAUUACUUUGCCUGAGUGUCAGAUUUGACGUGCCAUCAUGCACUGUCUGAACUUGCAGUUCCUUGGUUUGUAUCUUCAAACCCGUAGGCAUUCAAAGUGUUAAAUUAGCUUGCCUGAGAAGGAAAAUCACUUCAACAGUCAUUAAACGAUAAUCACUUUUCCGUUGUCUUUUUUUUUUUUUCAAUUCUUCUUCAUGCCUGUAGAUCUGUGAGAAUAUUUAUAAAUGGCUGUUCGGGUUAUUGCAACAUUUAAUAGUGCCUUUAAGAAUGAAUGUCAAGCAAAACAAAAUCCGGAUUAUUAGAGGACUGUGGGUGUGCAAUACAUGCUUCACAAUACCCAUUUAUUAUUUAAUAGACCAUUCUUGCACACAUUAUCAAAAGAACAUUUCAAUCGUCAAAUAUAAUAUGUGCAUACAACAUUUUAAAACAACAGAGACACGGUUACAGCGGAUUUGUCACAUGUGAGUUUUUAAGAUAUAUUUUUUUUUUCAAAGAUAUGCUUUUUUAAUUCUAUUUAAGUUUUGCUUAAGAUCAGUUUUUCAAAGAGUUUAGAAAGCACAUAAAAUACUUUUGGUUUUUAUGUCAAUUCCAUUUCCAUCAGUCAAUAAUCAGUUAACGGUUGAUAUAUAUUAAAUCACAAAACUGGACUAUGUGAUAAAAAUGCACUUAGGUGGGAAAAUUGCCGUGGCACUAGUUAUUAUGUGUGAUUAUCUUAAAGGCCAAUUUUGUAUUUUUACAAAUGUCCUAUUUGUCCUGCUAAAAUACCAGCACUGAAAACAGAGUAUCUGAUACUACUUUUGGACAAGUAUUAGCUUCUUUCCAAUUGUUUUACAUUUUGAAAUUACAUUCUCUCACUUUUUCAUAUUUUAGCUCGAAACACACAAGUGACAGAUCCCUUAUAUAAUACCAUAUAUAAAUAGUUACCUAUUACAAAAAUGUAUACUUUAAUGCAAAUCAUUUUAGCAGGUUUAUAAUGUAAUCAUUGGACUUAUAAUAGAAUGUCAUACUUGGGAUUGUAGCCUAAAAUAGAUUGUGAGCACAUCCACUAGUUGCCAAAACUUUUCUUUAUACCACUAUAUAAAUGAUAAAUCCAUAUUAACUAGUACAGGCUAACCUUGACAUCACAGAUCUUAAAAGGACACUCUGAGCAUCAAAACCAUUUACAGACUGCUGUAGUGGUGGCAGGAGUCCUCUGGCACCGUCUCACAGUAAAAUGUCACAUGAUUUAGGUUUAACAACUUACCUGGGUUCUGCCAGAUGCCUGCGUAGUAUCUACUGCAUUCAGUGUUCUCUAGCAGAAGAUGUUGGUUGUCACAUUAUUGCCAAGCAGGACUGUAAUCAAUGGCUGAGAUUUUGCUCUCCAUCAAUGAUUGUCACUUGACAUUGCUUUUUAUUGACAUCUGCUGGAGAAGAUUGAGUGUUGGAUGCAGAGGAGCUGCCCAGGUAAGCUGUCAAACUGUGCUAAAAUAGCUAAAUCUUACUAUGAGAUAUUAACAGCGCACUCCUGUAGUGGGUAUAGUGUUUGGACCAUUUCUUUAGAGCUACCUAUGCAUCAUGGAACAUGUAAUAUGGAGUCAUUACUGGAAUGGGCUAAAUUUUGAAAAUAAUUAUUAUUAUACACAAUCCUAUAACAUAAUUAUAUACAAUCCUAUGACAUAACUUCACUUAGCACAAAAAAUAGAGCACAUUGUAUACUCUAUAAAGUUUUAAUGAUACAUAUUCGCACACAAAUGUUGACACUGUUCAAUUAAUACAUUUAAAAAUUCAUUGUUACUAAGUAGUGAUGUCCCGAACGGUUUGCUAAAAAAGGUUCGCCACGAACAGUUUGCCGCGGACUCAUCAUUGAGUAAACUUUGACCCUGUACUUUAC
rnacentral:lncRNA from 1 species